UACGUAGGGGGCAAGCGUUGUCCGGAUUUAUUGGGCGUAAAGAGCGUGUAGGCGGCCGUACAGGUCAGCUGUGAAAACUCGAGGCUCAACCUCGAGACGUCGGUUGAAACCGUACGGCUAGAGUCCGGAAGAGGAGAGUGGAAUUCCCGGUGUAGCGGUGAAAUGCGCAGAUAUCAGGAGGAACACCGAUGGCGAAGGCAGGUCUCUGGGCCACUACUGACGCUGAGAAGCGAAAGCAUGGGGAGCAAACAGG
rnacentral:rRNA from 1 species